rnacentral:rRNA from 1 species
UACGUAGGUGACGAGCGUUGUCCGGAUUUACUGGGCGUAAAGAGCGCGCAGGCGGUCGUUCAAGUCGAGUGUGAAAGCCCCCGGCUCAACUGGGGAGGGUCACUCGAUACUGAUCGACUCGAAGGCAGGAGAGGGAAGUGGAAUUCCCGGUGUAGUGGUGAAAUGCGUAGAUAUCGGGAGGAACACCAGUGGCGAAGGCGACUCUUUGGCCUGUAACUGACGCUGAGGCGCGAAAGCGUGGGGAGCAAACAGG